CCGCUUUGAGCUAAAAGAAUUGCCACAGUUAAAUCCAGGAAAUGUGGGAUACAGAGCUUUGUUUCAUUUUUGGAAAAACAAAACUCAAACGAAGAAUAUAACGUUAUCCUAAAACCAUUCCGAUACACACUCCAGUUCAGAAGGUGGCGGGAAUGCACCUAUAAGCUGUUUGCCAACCGCCAUUAAACACCAGAAGAGAAGAAGAAGAAGAAGAAGGAAAGUGUAAUUUUUAGACCUCUGGAUUGUCAUGGGUCGUGGUAAUGAGCUCAGUGAGUUUCAGAGGGGGACUAUCGUGGGUUGUCACAUGAGUAAAAAGUCAACACGGGAGAUUUCCCGACUGUUGGACCUGCCUCAGUCCACCGUCAGCACGGUGAUAAGAAAGUGGAAAAAUGGAGGAAUAACCACGGCUCUGCCCCGGAGCGGCAGGCCCCAAAAGCUGAAGGAAGAGGACCGUCAGGUGUUGGAGAAAGUAGCGCUAGAAAACCGUCUGCCCUCGGUUGAAUCUAUCACCACCGAGUUUCAGACGGCCUCCGGGGUCAUUGUGAGCACCAGGACCGUCCGCAGGGAGCUCAGCGAGAUGGGCUUCCGUGGCCGAACGUCCAGCUACAACAAGACCGAAGGAGGGAAGAAGGCAGUCAAAAGGCCGGCUGUUUCGAUCCAAGAUGAAGCCAAGGUGGACGUGUCUCGUCUGGACCUUCGUGUUGGACGUGUCGUCUCAGCUCUGCAGCUUCCAGACACAGACAGUCUCUAUGUGCUGCCGGUUGAUGUUGGAGAGGCUUCUUGUAGGACAGUAGUCAGUGAGCUUGGAAAGCAUACAACUGUGGAAGAGAUGCAGAACCGUAUGGUAGUCCUGCUGUGUAACCUGCAGCCAGCUAUGAUCAGAGGAGUGCUGUCCCAGGCUCAGAUCAUGUGUGCAAAGUCACCAGACAAAGUGGAACUCCUCGAUCCUCCAAGUGGAGCUCUGCCUGGAGACAAGGUCGUUUUCAAGGCCUUUCCAGGUGAAGCGGACGAGGAGCUCAAGCCCAAACAGAAGGUGUGGGAGCAGGUUCAGGCGGACCUGCGCACAGAUGACCAGUGUGUGGCAACGUACAAGGGGGCCGCCUUUGAGGUCACCGACAAAGGCGUGUGCAGAGUCCAAACUAUGAGCAACGCUGAAAUCAAGUGAGCAUGCAGACGUGAUGGACGUAUCUAUGUUGAUCCCUACAGACUGGAUCCAAAUGUAGAGUCACAUUUACAGACCAGUGGUUUCGUAAAGACAGCAACAGCAGCAAAGGUGUCUUGUUUGACUGGAUUCUUACUUUAAGCCAAACAAAAGUAUAGAAUAUUUUGCCCUCUCUUGGAUAGACAUGAACAUUUUAGUCAUAAUCUAUCAUCAGCAGCUGAAGUUUUCUGUCUUAUCCAAAGGAGGGCGCUACAGUAACCAAGAUGAUGAGACUGUUGAAGGGAGACUUACAGUCAUUUCCAGCAUGGUCCAGAAAAAGGAAGUUCCUGCAUAGAUUCCCUUUGGGUUGGGGGAAUAUUUGAUAUGUAAAUGUACAUUUUUUUUCCCAUGAUGCCUCAGUGCUCAUUUCCACUGAACUAUAUGAAAGUUGUGAUUGUAAAAGUCCCUUUGAAAAAAAGCAGGACUUGAAACAGUUUUACUUUCUUCUGAAAGAGGGAAUAAAGUUGGAACUGAAUCAGGAUUUUGCAUUAGAAUAAGGAAAAAUAGCGUGAUAUGUAUGAAAGUUCUGGUCUGUAUGAUUACAGCUCUCUAAGCUCUUUCAGUUUAAGCCCCAUUACAACAAGUGGGAUUGCUACAGCUUGAGUUUUCACAACAACCAUCAUAGAAAAACCACGCUAAUACAGAAUACAGUAGACACUGUUAUACUUUUUAUUUUCAGGCAAAACGACUCAUAAAAUACUGUAAAAACAAACUGUUUUAGGCUGAACAGACACUUCCUUAUGAUUCCAUGUUAUAUCCUACUAAGGUCAACUAACCUGUCUUUAGGUAACACUAUUAUAGGAGACCUUUAUAUGUUUGAUGUGAUAAUCCUCUGUUUACAGACCACUGUGAUAGCACAGUGAGACAACAGGACAGCAACUGAAGUGAUGAAAAAUGAGCUUUUUUCAUUAAUCUGCAGAAAAUCCUGUAUUAUAUCUGAGUUGUUAAUUUUGUUUUCUUUAUAGAUGCUACUUUUGUUAAUUUCUGAUUCCUAGGGAGUCUCUGGAAAUGUAAAACUGACUGUUCUGAGCAUAUACUCCAUGCUUAUUAUCUGUUUUAUAAUAAUGGUGUUUACUAUCAUUUCUGCCUUUUGAGACCCUGCUUUUAGAUGCUUUAACAUGUUAAAACCUUAUUAUGAUGCCUGUCUCAGCCUUUUUUUCAGUAUUGCUAAUACGCAUCUUGUUUCCUUAAAGGGACUGAAAUAAAAGUAAA